AUUGAACGCUGGCGGCAGGCUUAACACAUGCAAGUCGAGCGAGCGGCGGACGGGUGAGUAAUGUCUGGGAAACUGCCUGAUGGAGGGGGAUAACUACUGGAAACGGUAGCUAAUACCGCAUACCAUCAGAUGUGCCCAGAGUGGCUUAGCUAGUAGGUGGGGUAAUCGCUCACCUGGGCGACGAUCCCUAGCUGGUCUAAGAGGAUGACCGGUCACACUGGAACUGAGACACGGUCCAGAGUCCGACGGGAGUGGACAGUGGGGAAUAUUGCACAAUUGGCGCAAUCCUGAUACAGACAUGCCGCGUGUGUGAAGAAGGCCUUCGGGUUGUGAAGCACUUUCAGCGAGGAGGCGUGACUCGCAGAAGAAGCACCGGCUAACUCCGUGCCAGCAGCCGCGGUAAUAC
rnacentral:rRNA from 1 species